rnacentral:ncRNA from 1 species
UGAGUAAACACUUUAAACGAAAGAAAUAAUCCAGACCCCUAACAUCGAAAGAUGAGUACAUUCAACGUAUACCUACUAAUGUAGUUAAUGAAGGAUAAGGGAUUCCUCCUAAUAAGUCCUACGAAUCAGAGGCUUUCGUUUU